GGCAAAUCCAUCAGUUCUGAUUUCCGUGAGGAGGAGGUUCAGUCCCAUAGCUGGAUGUUAAAUGAAGCUCUCUGAAGGAAGGGGAUGCCAUCAGGAGUUGCCAGAAGACAAGAUAUUUGGCUGGCACCAGGAGAGACCCCAUUGAAGUCUGGUCUGCUGGAUUCAGCACAGGAAUAAGAAUUUCUCCUGCCUGAUAGGAAUUUCCUAGAACAACAUUGUUUUGCUGUCAUGUACAAGUCCAUCAGUUCAGAGGUCACCACACCUAAAAGAGCCAUCUGGAUUUCCCUGAGCAGCAAAAUCUUUC